UACGUAGGGGGCGAGCGUUAUCCGGAAUUAUUGGGCGUAAAGAGCUCGUAGGCGGUCUGUCGCGUCCGUUGUGAAAACUCGAGGCUCAACCUCGGGCUUGCAGUGGAUACGGGCAGACUAGAGUGCGGUAGGGGAGACUGGAAUUCCUGGUGUAGCGGUGGAAUGCGCAGAUAUCAGGAGGAACACCGAUGGCGAAGGCAGGUCUCUGGGCCGCAACUGACGCUGAGGAGCGAAAGCAUGGGGAGCGAACAGG
rnacentral:rRNA from 1 species